GACGAACGCUGGCGGCGUGCUUAACACAUGCAAGUCGAACGGAAAGGCCUCUUUCGGGGGGUACUCGAGUGGCGAACGGGUGAGUAACACGUGAGUAACCUGCCCUUGACUUUGGGAUAACUUCAGGAAACUGGGGCUAAUACCGGAUAGGAGCUCCUGCUGCAUGGUGGGGGUUGGAAAGUUUCGGCGGUUGGGGAUGGACUCGCGGCUUAUCGGCUUGUUGGGGGGGUAGUGGCUUACCAAGGCUUUGACGGGUAGCCGGCCUGAGAGGGUGACCGGCCACAUUGGGACUGAGAUACGGCCCAGACUCCUACGGGAGGCAGCAGUGGGGAAUAUUGCACAAUGGGUGGAAGCCUGAUGCAGCAACGCCGUGUGCGGGAUGACGGCCUUCGGGUUGUAAACCGCUUUCGCUCAUGACGAAGCUUUGUGUGACGGUAGUGGGUAAAGAAGCACCGGCUAACUACGUG
rnacentral:rRNA from 1 species